rnacentral:rRNA from 1 species
UGGGGAAUUUUCCGCAAUGGGCGAAAGCCUGAUCCAGCCAUGCCGCGUGUGUGAAGAAGGUCUUCGGAUUGUAAAGCACUUUAAGUUGGGAGGAAGGGCAUUAACCUAAUACGUUAGUGUUUUGACGUUACCGACAGAAUAAGCACCGGCUAACUCUGUGCCAGCAGCCGCGGUAAUACAGAGGGUGCAAGCGUUAAUCGGAAUUACUGGGCGUAAAGCGCGCGUAGGUGGUUUGUUAAGUUGGAUGUGAAAUCCCCGGGCUCAACCUGGGAACUGCAUUCAAAACUGACUGACUAGAGUAUGGUAGAGGGUGGUGGAAUUUCCUGUGUAGCGGUGAAAUGCGUAGAUAUAGGAAGGAACACCAGUGGCGAAGGCGACCACCUGGACUAAUACUGACACUGAGGUGCGAAAGCGUGGGGAGCAAACA